UCGUGGUGGUUCCACAUGGCUGCUGAGUGCCGAACCGCCGGCCGCCGCCGAGAAACACAGGAAAUUUCUCUCGUUCUCCCAGCGGGAAAGAAGGUCUGCGUGGGAGGUGCUCGUCCUCUCCUUCACUGCAUGGCUUGGACUUCACCCGGGCAUGGCCGCCUCGGUAUCGUCUCCUCGAAGGGCAUGGAUACGCAGCUUAAUAUGCAAUAAAGAGAAGUCGCAGCUGAGCCUUGUUGCGUCGUGGGGCCGGUACCUUUCUGUUGCUGCUUAGCAAUCUGAGAGUACGCUUCAUGGUGGGCCGGUCUCUCGGCUCCAUUUGGGUGCAGAGCAGCGCAAUAUCCAUGCAUCUUUUUAUC